CUCCUGGGAACUGCCUGUGAAUUCCCCGCAGGAACGGCAGCUCCCGAAAUAUCAUGGCUUGUAGCCAAAGCAAUUCAAGAUGUGACGGCUGUAAAUGUGCAUUGGGUGAGGCUGGAAACUCUCCAGUCUAAUUCAAGAAACUCUUGGCUCGACUCUUGCUUUGCUUUUGAAGAAGAGAAGCUCAUCUGUGAAGAACCCCAUGCUGCAAGUCUUACAGAUGUCCUGCCUUGAAUAUACUGUGUGAGACUCCAGUGACUCAGACUUGCAGUCUGAGACCAUAUCAUGACAGCAGGUGGUGAUUCCUGAGCUCUACUUCCCACCUCCACAUUUCAUUCCUCUACCAAGCCUGCACAGCAGGAUUUCAGAUGAGGAAAAGCAAGAAGUUUAUUUGAUUUCUGCCUGUUAUCUAACCCUCCCUAAAACUCAAGGCAUUGUUGGUUUUUGCAAGUGUGGCUGCCCCCCUGGGGUCACUGCCCACAGCAUGCACUGGAGGACUGAGCUAAAGAUGAGUGCUUUCAGUUUGUACAGAGAAGCAGAUACCAAA